AAUCAAUAUAUAAUACGAUUAAGGAUUCCUGCGCUCUCCUUAAUUCGGGGUCCUACGUGGCAUAUCUAAGAAUUCACCAUUCAAAAUCCCUGCAAUUCUAGAGCUUCUAGCUUUAAAAUUUAAAUCCUAUGUGGCAAAAUAAUUCCACAUGUGAUAAUUUAUUUUUAAAACCUAAUAUUUCAUUUUCAUUUUUCAUUUAAUAUCUUUAAUUCCUCCAUCUCCAUUCAAUCCAAAAUCCGAAGAAAAAAAACACCAUAAAUCUGCAAAUCUCACCCUCACCGCCACCGCCGUCUUCGCCGCGCCGGCCACCACCUUCGCCGCCGCCAUCUGCCAUCUGCCCUCUAUUUCCCUCCCUCCCAAUAUGGUUUAUAUAUUUGAUAUCCUUAAUUCCUCCACCUCCUUAAUUCUUCAACUUCCAUUCGAUCCCAAAUCUGAAAAACCCCUACCACCAGAAAUCUGCAACUAUCACUGACACCGCCGCCUUCUUCGCGGCCCCACCGCCUUCGCCGUCGCCGCCAUCUGCCCUCCAUCCCCCUUCCCUCCCUGCGAUUCCGCGAUCUGCCACUUCCUUUCGAAUAAAUCCCAAAACCAUGACCAGUCGCCCCACCACCAGAAAUCUGCAACUCUCACCGCUGCGCCGGCCACCGCCUUCGCCAUCGCCGCCGCGAUCUGCCGUGAUUCUUGCUACACAGCCAUGGUGAAUGGGUUUCAUGUUCGGUUGGUGCUAAUUUUACGCCUCAUAUCAUCACGGUCAAUGCUUGAGAGGUAAAAGGCGAUAAAAAACUCCUAUUUAGUAAAUUAAUUCUUUGUCAUCCUGUUUCCUUUUCCAUUUUGUGUUAAUAAUCUCUCAUUUAAUUUCUAGAGUAGAUGUGAUUGGAUGCCUUUGAAGUAUUCAAUUAUGUGCGCGAGCAUUGUCAAAAUAUAUUCUGCUGUCUGCUUGUGAUUGCAAAUAUUGGAUUUGCUAGAUUUCCAUAUCUGGUAUUUGUGGUGUAUGAACGGAGCUUUGCCGUUUUAGUGGUGCCAAGAUCUAACUUGGAAGGGACGGGUCCGCUGUCAUCAUUGCCAGCAAUUGCAUUUUCAUUCUCUGUUUGUCAUUUGUGAAAUGAAUGUGUUGGUGUUGUAGGUUUUUCUGUUUGUUAAUUAACUCAAUGCAAGAAGUACUUCCACAAUCGCCUCGGGCCUGCUAAGCUUACAUGGACUACUAUGUACCGUGAACAACAUAAGAAGGAUGUCGAUGUCGAGAAACAGCAAUGCCCCUACCUCUCAAGCCUCGGCGAGUAUCUGACGGAUAGUGGGUGAUGGGUAUCCAACGGGUAGCGGGUGGUGAAUAUCCGACGGGUGACGGGUAUCCGUGGGUUGCGGGUAUGGGUGGCAAAUAGUAGUGGGUGGCAAAUAAUUUUUUCGAAUAUAUGUUUCGCUAAGUCAUGUUAAGGAUGAAAGUCCUCUUUAAUUUAUUUUUUUCAUUUUAGUUUAAUGUGUAACGUUGACCUAUAUAAUAUUAACAGUUUUUCCA